rnacentral:tRNA from 1 species
GCUCGGGUGGUGAAAUUGGCAUACACGCAAGAUUUAGGUUCUUGUGUCGCAAGACGUGUGGGUUCGAGUCCCACCCCGAGCA